AAGAAACUCCAGGUGUGGGGACAUUUGCUGUGAUAAUUACAAUCUUCACCUCAAAAUGUGAUCACCUUACUCAGAUUGUUCAAAUUAAGCAUUUUUUUUUAAAUGUAUCAUUUCUUUGUUAAACCUUUUCCUUAAGUUGCCCCAUUGCAUAUGUUUAAUUUUUGAAGUCCAUUUGUUCAUGUAUUAAGUUUGAAGAUCAUUUUACUUUUUUUUUGCUCAAAUUAAGUGGGAAUGUUAUAUCAAUUUUUUUAAAAUUUUGUUUCAUUACUUGACAAGCAAUACUUCGUUGUCUGACCAUUUCUUACUAACUUUUAAGUUGACCCCAAGAAGGAAACUAUCUUUAUUUGCUCUCAAACUUGUGACACCAGCUGUUGUACAUUGUAGAAUUUGUGUUGUGUAUGAAUUAUGUGGCAUUUCACUUCACACACAAUUUAGUUAGCUGAUACCAGUGAAUUCUUUGUGAAAGAGUGGUAUAUGUUGACCAAUGCCAUCUAUUAAAAAUGGCAUCCUUUAGAAUGCACAAAUGGCUGGAAGUGUAUGUGGUUUUCAUAAGUGCUUAUUAGAAUUUUACAUUACUAGAAUUCCAUAUGAGAAGUCAUUUGGAUUUAAUAUACAUGUAUAAUUCUUCACUAUAGGAUUAUUUUCUAUUUGUACUGGUGUUAAAUCUAAUAAAUUUAUGCACAUUUCAAGGACAAGUUUUGGAGUAUUCAGAGAUAACACUUUAACUCAAAAAUCCUCGUUAUGAAUUAAAUUCAAAUUUUUCUGUUCUUUGAAGAUGAAAUGUCAAAAAGAAAAAGUUAAUUUGGUCACAAUUCAUUGGCUACGAGGAUGGUCUUGCUACUGAAAUUGCUUAUGAUGAGACAACAAUUUUGUAUGGGUUUGAGAUUAUGCAAGAACAAAUAAAAAUGUUUUUUUCUGAUGUGCUAAUAAGUACUGUACAUGUAAUGGGUAGUUUUUUUUUCUUUAAUAAACAGAGAGAUGGAUUAUAUUGUAUAUUUGUGGUAUUCUUUGUUUGUGAGAAGAUCGUAAGUGUUAAGUAACAAAAUUAUGGAGGACUUGCUAUUAUAGACUGGUUCAAUAUAGAUAGAAAAUAAUCCUUAUAUUUUGUUUUAUUAACUUAUGAAAUUGAAAUUUAUAAAUUUACAUGUUUUCAUUUACAGAUGGACCUGUUAUGCAAUAUGUAUUCCAAAAAAUCUCAUUAAAAUUUACCUGAGAGU
rnacentral:sRNA from 1 species